CGGUGGGCGGGCGGGCGCCCGGCCGCUGCUCCGCCCGCGCGCAAGGGAGAGCUAUUUCGGGAGCGCCGCGCGGCCGGCGAGCCAAAGAUAGCGCGGGCGGGAGGUAUUUAUAGCGCGGCGGCGCCGCCUCCGCCGCCGCCGCUGCUUUUCCGGGGCGGGGAGAGGAAAAUGCCGAGCCGGAGCCUCUGGCCCCGGGGCGAGAGCCGGAGCAGGGAUUCCCCGCGCGGGCGGGGGAGGGCGGAGACGCCGGGGCUGCCCCGGGCCAGCCUGACGCAACGGCGAGCGGACGGGGAUCUCCCUGCCGGGGCGGGGACUCCGCCCGGAGCCGCGAAGCUGGGCGCCGCUCGUUGCCCGGAGGGGGCCGCUGCCCUCUCGCCCAGGGAAAGGGACUUGCAGCGAAGCCGCCGAGUCCAGACAUCUGGAGCGGGACCAAACAACCUCCUGGCAGUGGUCGGCGCCCCGGGCCCCUCCGGGCACUUGCUCGGGCGCAUCGGGGGGCAGCGCUGGAACGGCAGAUCCGCGAUCGGUGGAGACGCGGGGGCGGACAUGAGGAUGUGCCGUGCACGUGCACGCAGAAGAAAGCUUCCCUGAAGUCACAGGGGAUUGGCUCCCUAAUAAAUACCCGUAGAAUUGCAGCCCGACCCUACCUGUGUUUACUCGGAAGUAAGCCCCACUGACUUCUAUUGGAUUUGCUAGCAGGUAAGUGUGUACAGGAUUGUAGCUCUAGGGCAGCAUUCUAUGCGGUAUUUACUUGAAAGUAAGUCCUCACGAGUUCGGUGGGACUUGUUUACUUGUUGUAAGUGACUGAAUGGUUUUUCUCCGGUCCUUUUUGCAAACCAAACAGUCUUCCCAUAUCCUGGUACUGACAGCCCUGGAGGAGAAAAGCAGAACGUGUGAAUACACCUUUAACAUGCUAAUAGUGAAAUAUGCACAUGUAUGCAUUUAAAAAUGUAGGGUCCCGUUGCACUGGGGUUGCUGCAGUGCAUAUGCAUAAGUCCAUAUGCAUGACAGGAAUCUUCGUUACAUUCCAUAAGAUUGCAGCAGGGAUGUUUGCUUUUGAGACCCCUUGCAGCUGAUAAAAGUUGCAAAUGGGUGGCUUCCCCUGUUUGCUCAUGCAGUUCCUCACCGUGGUGUAAGGCUUUCCGCAGAUGCAGGCAGGCUUUUCUUUCAUUUAUUUAAAAGCAAUCUUCUGAUUAGACAGAUAAGGCAGAUGACCAGAUAAGUUCCAUGAGCCAGUGGAGCAAAAGCUGUAAUUCUUUGCGGUGGGUUUUUUGGGUGUGUGUGUGUGUGUGGUUCUUUCUUAUCACCAUGUCAAAUGGAAUAUUGUUGCCAUUUUCCAGAUGGGCACACCACACACUCCCCCCCCCCAUCAUUUGUUCCUUGGUGGCUCCGGGGCCAGUGACUCCAUGCUGCCCUCUACUGCUGGACAUCAUAGUAGCUGCAGUAAAAGCCUGCAUUUCCUCCCCAGGGGUGCCAUGGCUGGAAGGUUCCUUGGUGUGUGGGGAUUAAUCUUCAGCUGUUUUUCCUGCAGGCCCAGAAGAGAGACCAUUCCCCACAACUUCUGUCGCUGAUUGCCAGCCACACUCUGAAUGAAAGGCAAGUUGGAGGGCUAGGAGUAGUCAUGUGGGAGGCGGCCGUUCUCCUUCAACGUGAUGAGUGAGCGAAGGGACCUGGGACUGCAAUAAGGGUGGGGUGGCCUAACCUUGAGCAGUCCUGUGCAGGGGGGCGGGGCAGUUCAAACACCCCCACGCCGCCUGGGCAUUAAGUAGGUGUGAGUGCCUAACUUGGGUGCCAACCCAUCAUACAACAUUGGUGGAGGAGGAAGAACAGGAAAUCCCCCUGUGAUUGGCUCAGAACUUUAGUGCUUUAUAAGGAGGUUUCUGUUUUCAGCAUAGCCAGUCGCUCUGCAAGACCCCUUCUGAAUAAUGUUUUCUCUUUCUCUGUGGUUAACUUCCUCUAACUAUACUGUUUUGGAGAGUUAGGGGGUAUAUCUCCUCCUUUUCCAUGCUAAGAAAAUUCCUUUUUAAUGGAGGGCAGGAAGAAAAUAAAAAAAAUUGCUCUUGUGCAAAUACUCUCCCUUGUUUGUGUUUUUUUUUCUGAAUCUGGUUCAGAAAACUGGAUAACCUCCCUCCCCGGCCAAAUUCUGCCCCAUGUAGCUUUCGUCAGGUCCCCCGUCCCCGCCAAGUUUCUAGCUGGAAAGUCUUUGCACAUUUGCAGCCCUUGGUUGGUGGACGCUCUCUCUCUUACAGUUAAUUUUUUUCUUCAUACCUGGGUAACUGUUAAAUCUUGAGAAACCCCAGUCUUGUCUACAGAAAGCCUUCUUUCAUUGUCCGACUGAUCAGCACAGGCCCACUGUUAAAAAUGUAAUCGGAUCAGGGAAGUAAUUGGGCUUUGCACAAGAGAAAACAUAAACAAACCACAGAUAGGGACUGUUGCAGGUGUGUAUGUGUGUGUUCUGUAAGUUGACUUUAUCCUACGAAGCAAACAUGACUUCUGGAGGAUAAAUCAGUGCCCAGUUGAUGGGAGAGAAAAGCAAACAGGUGGUCCACGUUACUGUAUGAACACUGACUGGCAAUAAUGCCCUGAAUCCUGAAACUACAGAGAAUAGGGCAGUGAGGAGUCUUGGGGAUGAAGGCACAUGGAGCAGGCUUCAACUGCACUUUCUCUCAUUAAGCCUAUUACUGCAGUCUGAUUAAAGACAUUGUAAUUGAGCUGUCACCUAAAUAUAAAGGUAAAGGGGACCCCUGACGAUUAGGUCCAGUCGUGAUCGACUCUGGGGUUGUGGCGCUCGUCUCACUUUACUGGCCAAGGGAGCCGGCGUACAGCUUCCGGGUCAUGUGGGCAGCAUGACUAAGCCGCUUCUGGUGAACCAGAGCAGCGCACGGAAACGCCGUUUACCUUCCCGCCGGAGCGGUACCUAUUUAUCUACUUGCACUUUGACGUGCUUUCAAACUGCUAGGGUGGCAGGAGCAGGGACCGAGCAACGGGAGCUCACCCCGUCACGGGGAUUCGAACUGCCAACCUUCUGAUCGACAAGUCCUAGGCUCUGUGGUUUAACCUACAGCGCCACCUGCGCCCCUUGUCACCUAACUAUACAUAUGGUCAAAACAAUUUUGAACCAAGAAGCAUGUUCUCUUUGUUUUUAGAUGAUGCCUGCAUGUGUCUUCUUAUGAGGCAUUCCUUCUGUGUGAGAGUAGAAUGAGAAUGCCUCUUUUGUGAUAGUAUAUGCCACCUGCAGUUUUUAUAUAUAUAGUUGUGUUGCAAAAUCUAUAUUUCCCUUAACAGGGACACUUUUUGAGUCAAUGAUUUUUUUAAAAAUGAUUACUCUAAAUCAUUAAUUAAUUAAAUGUUGCAGCCUUGAUUACCACCCCUUUUCUUUUUACUUACUUUGUUUUUUAUAGGGCUGAGCGCUGAUACUGAAAAUCCAUGCUGAGCCCUGACACAAAUUAAGCCCAAGCAACAAUGAGGAAAUGUAACAGGGGUAAGACAAGGAAUGGGCUCGCAACUAGAUGCAUUAUACCGUAAAAGGAAAUGUCGUCAUAGUAGUAGUAAUAUAUAUAUAUUUAUAUAUUUAUACCCCACCUUUUUCCCUGACAGGGACUCCAGGCAGCUGAUAGAUAAAAGAAGAGCUAAAAACAAAGAAAAAACAACAACAAUUAAAAAACAAUUAAACAUUGUCAGAAUUAAAAGUAUAUAUUAUGUAGAUAGAUCAAAAUACAUUAAAACCAUACAGAUAAUCACAGCAAAAACAGCACAGCACCAGCCCUUUCAUUAAAAGCCAUCAAUUCCCCAAAGCCUGUUGGAACAAGAAAGGGAGAAUCAUUCAAAUAAUUGCACUGCUAGCAAUAUUUUCACAUUUGAGAGUUAAAUCAGCUUUAAUAUUUUUGUUUCUGCUGUUUAUAGACCACCCAUUGACCAAGGUCUUGUGGGCGGUUGCAGAAAACCAACAAAGCACAGAUACACCUCAACAGAAAGAUAGAGUAGAGAAACAUAGGGUGGCCCUUGCAUCUUCACCAAAGCUGGUGUUGUCCUGGCCGUCCAGGAAUUGUGACUCUGCCAAAGGCAGAGGUAAGUUGUUACUGGACAAAUCCUCUAGGGCUUUCAGUUUUUCUCCUUCUACUGCAAAUGUAAAACAGCCCCUAAUGAAAAUAUAAAGCAAACUAGUUCACAGUCUAAAUUUAUUUUCCUGUCCAAACUCAAAUAUUCGAAGAUUUCAGACCUUUCUCUCUCUCUCUCUCUCUCUCUCUCUCUCUCUCUCUCUCACACACACACACACACACACACACACACGCAAAAUAUGAGAGGAGUUUCCUAAGCCGCAUGAAAACACACUCAGGCUUAAGAUGGUUAUGUUUUGAGCAUGAGUGAAGCUUUUAAUUAUAAAGCUCUCCUGCUGUUAAUACUUGAGCUGAGGUUACAGCAUACUGAUAUUUCUGUGAGAAAGUAGCUGAAGGUAAACUGGGUCACUUUGGUAACCUUAAGGUCAUAUUACUGCCAUGCAGUUUAUCUGAUCUCUGAAAAGUGUUCAGAAUUCAGCACUAAAGCUGUUGGUGGUUGCCAUCCAGAGACUAUGAUACAGAACUGCCUUGGUCACCAGUUUGUGGGCCCAGUUCAAAAUGCUGAUGGUCUUCUUUAAAGGCCUAAACUGUACUGGACACACACUGCCUCCCCCAAAAAGCCACAAUAGUCCAAGUAACAAAGAGCCAGACAUUGUAUUUCAGAAACGGGUCACCCCAUUCCUGAUCCCCACGAUUCUCCACAACUCUGUGAGACUCUGGGGGCUUCUUGUCAGCAGCCCGACUUAAAUUAGGUGAUUGUAUAUGUACUUGCCCAUAAUGUUUGACAGCAUUAAAACAUGUGAGGUGUCACCUUUGAUAGAGUCUUCUCUGUGACUUCUCCAGCUUCUUGUUCCAUAGUUUCAAACACAGUUCUGUGGGAAAUUGCUGUCUCAUGUAGCUAUAGCAUGUGUAAUGCUAGUUAAUGCAAAAAGCAAUUAAGACCACAGAGUUGUAUUGCUAGACACAGCUAGGUCAUGCCCCUCACCUAGAAGGAAGGGAGUUAAAUUUCCUGCUUUGGUCAUUCUCUUUCACCAUGUGAACUCUCAGAUAAAGUUUGUGCCUGAGCCUGAACUUGCCCGCUAUUAGUUCAGACCAUGUGCUUAGAGCUGUUUCACUAUAUUUUGUACCCCAAUAUUUUUGCCUGUGUUUAUAUGCUGCUGCAUGGAUAAAUGCAUGAACCUGACUUUUGGAACUUUGUAAGUAAAGCAUUUUAAAACUUCCCAAGGUGUGUGGUCUGUUCAGUGCUAAGAGGGGUAGAAAUGGGGAAGCUCUGGUAGCGACUCAGAACAAGAAGUUUAAAAGGUUUAACAGCCUAUAUUCCCACAAUAUGCUGCUGCUUGUGACUUUUAAAUCUCUGCUGGGGGCUGUCUGUUGCUGGAGAGCAUGUUUAGCCCCAUGCUUUAGAUCUAGGGAUCCAGACAAUUCUUUUAUUAAUUACCCCACAUGUAUGAUCUACAUCUAUGAAUCUAUUUUCCCCACCUGCUCAUCUGAUCCAGCAAUUCCCAAGCUCACCCAGAUAAUCCUGUUUGCUGUCACAAUCUUUUGAUUCUCUUUCAACCAUACUGUAUUCUAUAACUUUCAGAGACAAACCCCUGGGGUUUUGUGUGAUGUUCAUUAUCAGUUCUUCAAACAUGAUUAAAUGUCUGCUUUCUUGCUCGCAUUAUUAUAACUGGGUUCAGCAAGAAGCUGCUUAAAUCGGAACAGGUUACUGACAAACUGUACAUCUUGACAGACUAUAGUCUUCAUGAAUGACGCAGAUUAUGAAGCAAUAACUUUGUGUAGGGGUACCAGAUGAGGUUGCCCUCUCCCCUCGCCCCUCCCCUUAUUUCUUCUUUCCUUGAAACCCUGGCCCAAUGAUUAAGAGAUGGCUGGGGGACUCAGGAUCGCCUCUCCAGUCUGCCCUGGCGCCAGGUCCUUCAAAGUGGCCCCUCAGGAUUAUGCACACCUUAUAUCAGGUUGGAACACUGGGUGGUCAUAAUAACAAUUUCUCUAAAUCCGAAUCGUAAUCAAUAUAAUCCCCUAACAUCUGUAUCUAUCUGUUCUUUAAAUUUCUCAAUUACUGGGAUGUCAAUGUAGAAAAAUUAGGGUGGGUGUGUGGACCUUUAUCCUGAAUUGCCCUGCCCCCACCCAUUUUUAAAGGAAAAUUGAAAAAGACACUAAGUCAUGGUCCAAACUCAACCUCUUCCUCUUGGAUAUGUUUACUUCACUGAAGAUGGCAGUCCUGCCCAAGCUGUUGUCCUCGCUUGUUCCUGUGGCUUGAACAAUCAGGGUGGGGAACUCUGACAAAUUGAUUCUGAUGAAUGGGUGGGAUUUCCUGCACAUCCAAUGCUUAUGAUUCUUUUCAGAGUAAGCAUUUAUUAUCCUUCCUCUGGAAUGAUCUGCUUAAGCCUUGGGCUGACUUGGAGGCCUGUAAUUGGAAUAGCACCUUGACCCAGACAGUUUCCCUGUUCCCACAAGAAAUGAAAGGGGGUUGAGAACUCCUUUUUUUGGGUGGAAUUCGCAGAGGAAUCUUGCUCCUCCCAUCUCUCUUGUUCUUCCCUUCUUACAUUGUCAUCCUCCUUUCUGUUGUCAACGUAGAGGGCCACUUCGAAGAAUCUUAAAACACAGGGAAUUGUUCUUGUUUCUAUCAUGAUAAUACUCCUUUUUCAGAAGAGCAACUCAAAGGCAAGUUGGAGGCACCCUCUGUGAACUGGUUGUCUGUAUAUUGGAUUCAUUGCUUUUUCUCAGACGGGACAGUCAAGUAUCUGGGUCGCUGCCUGAUUCAGCGGACAACUGCUUAGAAGCCACUUUGGCAAGUAGGCAGCACGUAAAUAAAUAAAGUGUGAACAAUGGACUCAAAAAAUGCACAGGGGUGAAAGAGGGUGGUGGGAUCCUUGCAGGAAGAUGCUGGGACCACUUUUUAAAAUAUCCUGCCUCAGAAUUUUACAGAUGUCCCCAUUUGAGAUCCAAGAGAUUCAUGUUAGCACCAUCUGUGACGUUGCAAGAUAUCCUGGGGUCUUCUAGUCAUCAGAUGGUGCAGCGUAGCCGCUCAGGCAGCAAAAUGUCUUGGGGGGGGUGGCUCCAAUAAAUUAGGUUGCACCACUGUUGUGAAGUAAGAAUUAAAUAUAAAGGUCAGACAGAAACCAGAGCCCUUGUUUACAAAAUACACACUGCUGACAGGGGAAUUGUGUGUUCUGUCCCCACCGCCACCCCCAAGUCUGCACACUGCAUUUCCUCCGCAGAAAAGUGGUGCUGGAGUAGAUCCAGAUUAAGUGGUCCACACAAAGGUAUGACAUCUAAACUGCUGCUUCCAUCAGAGAAGCUAUUUUUCAGCACUAGCACAAUGAGGAAGAUUUGCCAAAAACACUCACUGCAGACAAAGCCCGAAGCAGUUCGUUUCACCCUUUCUUUGGUGCUUCUGUGAAUGAAUUGAGCACCCAUGCAUGUGCUCAGCAAAGCACUCAAGGCAGAGCCAAACAUACUUUAAGGAUAAAGCGAGUGAAGAACCCGAGUGCUGCUUUCUCAAAGGCAGUUGCUAGGGAAGAUUAAAGAUCUCUCCAGGGAACUGCAUGCUGUCAUCAGCUCAAAGCUCUCACAGAAGCUGAGCUUCUUAUGUUCACUGCAAUAAAAGCAACAGCACACAGGACAUCAUCUUACCAUGAGAGGUUUUGUCAAACAGCCCAAGGCCAGAGAAAGUCAGCAGCCUAAGCUGUUUCAGAAGAGCUUUUCUCCAGUCCCAACAGUUGUCUUUAUACCCAAUAGAAAACACUUAUUUGGUAACAGUAUAAAAUAUAACAUAUUAUAAAAUUAUAUUAAAUAAUAGGAAAUGUUUAUUUUAUGGUCCUAUUUAUUAUAGGGCCAUAGUCAUGGUUAAGUGAAGUCAACUGAAUUGCAUCCCACCAUUACAGUGAGAAAUCAGGAGGGGAGUCAGGUAGUUCGAAGAUGGUUCAACAGAUCAGCAGUGUGGAAGCAGUAAGUAUGAAGGUGGUUUCUGCCGAACUUGGGGUAGAAAAGAGAGGAAAUGGGUUAUUUUGAAUUAGUUAAAUGACAUGUAUUGUGCAUUUUUCUUCCAUAGACUUUGCUGGGGUGGAUUUUCCAGAAGGAUUUACCCAAUUAUUUUGGGGUGUAUCUAGCUAGGUUCUGCUCAAGAGUAGAUGUAUGGAAAUUAAAGGAACCUAAGUUAGUCAUGUCAUUAAUUUUGGUGGGUCUGCUUUGAGUAGGUUUAACAUUGGAUACAAUCCAAUGCAUUUUGGGGAAAUGGGUCAUUGUUUUAGGUCAGUUGGUUGUACUCGUGCCCAUGAGUUGUGUUUGUAAUUUUUAUUUAAAAGGCACUUUGUUGGCCAGUGUUAAUCAAUGGACUUGUUGGGGCUACUGUUGCUAGGCAGUACUUCUGGCCAGUCUGGGACAAUAGAAGCUUGCCGUUACUAGGCAGGAUUCUCACAUCCCAAACUUCAGCCUUCAGUUUGCAGUUCAGGUAGAAGUUAGGUAUGAAAGGAGGUGGGGAAAGCAAAUCACAGGAGAUAAAUGGAAAUAGUUUGAGAUGAAUGGGGAGAGGGAAAGGAAAAUGAUAUCACAGAUGCACAGCAACUGGAUUCCAUUUUUUAUUGGAAAAAAUAUUUUUAUUGCUUUUAUAUAUAGAUAAACUAUAGCAAAACAUAAGAAGCAUGAAGCAGGGACCAGGUGUACAAGCAAAAGAAAACACAGGAUGUAUACCAAAUUUUCACAUAUUAAUGUUCAAAAUGUUUUGUGUGCUAUAUAGGGAGUUAGUUACCAUCAACAACAAAGUAAGGAGACUUCCAGAUUUCUGUGUCUAGAAGCCCAUAUGUGGAGGCAAACUGGAGAAAGGUCCACCCCUCCUUGAUUUGUUUAAGGAACAAACCUUUGCCUUGUGGCAUAAAAUGCAUCAGGUGUCUUUAGUCCUUUUAGUGUUCUCACUUGGUGGGUUAUCUUGCCCAGAGUUGCUGUUUUCGACAUAUUUCUAUGUCAUAAUGUUAAUGUCCAAGUCUGUUGAGGUUUUCCAUAUUUGGGCAGUUGAUGGAUGGGCCGCAGCAUUGAGAAAGAUGUGCAAUUCAUUAAAUUUAAUGUCAGUCUUAGGACCCACAAUUAUAGGUAAUAGUAGCCAUUGAGGAGUACAUUCAUUGUACUCCUUUAGUAUAUUAGCAGUUUCCCAGAACAGAGCUACUAGGCAAUACCCCAUUCCUACAAUUUUGCCCACAAGCCAGUGAAAUCUCUGAUGUUACGUGAGGACGUGGCACAGGUGUCCUGCCCUACCUGUGCCAAAGCUUAAUCGUACUCUCUCGCUCUAAUGUAUGCUGGCAGAGGGUCAUAUCCAGCUCUGCUGUUCUGCUAUCUCAGGAGACUUCGGCUUGCAAAGUGAGACUUUCCCCAUCCCUUCUCUCCCUUGCAGCCUCAAAAUCAGCUCCAGAGGGCUGGAACAUCACCUGGGGAAGAUUUUGAGGGUGUAAAAGGAGAGAAGAGGAAACUUCAUUGUGUGAGUGGAAAUUAGUGCAUGCCGUGUUGGAUGCAACCCACAGGCUGGAAAGUUUUGAAUUCCCACAUCUUAACUCUGAUGACUACUAGCUGUUGUGAUUAAUAGGUAAAAGGUAAAGGACCUUUGGAUGGUUAAGUAAAGUCAAAGGUGACUGAGGUUGCGGUGCUCAUCUCGCUUUCAGGCCGAGGGAGACGGUGUUUAUCCACAGACAGCUUUCUGGGUCAUGUGGCCAGCAUGACUAAACCACUUCUGCCACAACGAAACACCGUGAUGGAAACCAGAGUGCACGGAAAUUCCGUUUACCUUCCCGCCACAGUGGUACCUGUUUAUCUACUUGCACUGGUGUGCUUUCAAACUCUUAGGUUGGCAGGAGCUGGGACAGAGCGACUGGAGCUCACCCAGUCGCAGGGAUUCGAACCGCCGGCCUUCUGAUCUGCAAGCUCAAGAGGCUCAGUGGUUUAGACUACAGCGCCACCCGCAUCCCUAUUAGUGAUUAAUAAAUUGAUCAUGAUAAUAGUGAUGGUAGGUCUCAAAUCUGCCUUUGAUUUGAUAACCCAAGGCAGAAGUUGUCAACCUUUUUGAGUCCACAGCUCCCCUGACCAACUGCGUUCUUUCUGCGGCUCCCCUGGAGGGAAACGUGCUCUGAGUCUCAGGAGCUCCCCUUGCCUGCCGAGCUGCCCACCCCUCACCUCUUUUGCAGAGACCCUUCCUUGUGGAGGGUUCCCUCAGCCUCCUCUCCCCUUUCCUCAAGAAUCUUUGCCCGCUUGUUUACUUACCCUGAGGCCACCUUGGCUCUCGGCAACCAGUUCUCAGCUCUCCUGGCCAGCCCCAGAGGCUGCUUUCACCUGGAGAACUUGUAGCCUGGGCCGCUACAAAAAAACAGCUGUGCAAGCCUUUGGGAGGCAGAGACACGAGAGGGCAUCAGAGGAGGGAAGGAAGGAAAGAGGGACAGAGGCCAGUGUUGCCCACGGCGUGCCUGACCACCAUUCAAGACGCCCCAGGGUGCCACGGCGCACUGGUUGAAAACCACUCACCUAGGGGAUGGUUGCAGAACAACCAAAAGAGUGCAUCAAUUGAUAAAAGUCUGUUUUAUCUCACGGAACAAUUACAGUUGGAAAGUAGAAUGGAAAUCAGAUGUUGUGUAGGAGGUCCUCUGUCAAAUUCUGUUGCAACUGCGAGAGGAAUUAGUGUUGUAGUCUAGCUCCCCUUGUUCCCUGAUUUAACUCUCCAGAACGUCAUAAACUGAAAAUUUGCAGAAGCCAGAAUGCCUCCAGACUUGUGUAUGUGGACGAUGCAGUCCUUCUCUCAAACACAGUUAGGCCUGAAACAUGUGUUAGAGGAAUGUUCUAACCUUUACGUAUAAGAAUGAAGCUCUUGCAAUUCGUUGUGGUAAGACUAAGGGAUUUUUUUUUGCUUAUUCUUAAAAAGUAAUGAAAGAUAAAUGGCUCUUUUGAUGGCUACCUACGUGUUUUUAACUUUUUAUGAUUUUAUCGCUUGGUUUCAUAUUUUUAUACUGUUGUAAACAGCUGUGGUAUAUCUUUAUGAUACAGCAGUAUAAUAAAUAUUUUAAAUAAAUAAAUAAAUAAAGCUAUUAUAUAGUUCUCUAUCUCCAAAUCCCUGAAGAGGAUGCAGAGGCAGAGGGAGUUUGGCCUACAUGCAGUAACACUGUCCUGGUGUGGAAGACUAUUGGUAGGGUUAUUUUUGACUACAGUGGAACCUCGGAUUACGUACCGUCCUCCUUACAAAUUCUUUGGGUAACAAGCUCCGCUAACCCGGAAGUAGAUGCCCCUUGUUGUGAACUUUGCCCUGGGGUGCGAGCGGAAGUUGUGCGCCGGCAGAGGCCCCAUUAGCGAAAGCGCACCUCAUGUUAAGAACGGUUUCAGCUUAAGAACGGACCUCUGGAAUGAAUUACGUUUGUAACCGGAGGUACCGCUGUAUUGCAGAAAGAACUGGACAAAUGAUAGGGCUCAAGUUGAGAGCCCAGCCUUGUUAUCACUAUUAAUAAGGAGCUACUUCACAAAGAACGUAUUAGGAUGGAGGUGAAUAAGCAUUGGAAAGAUGGGGAGGAACUUUCCACUAAACAGUAGAUAGAAUGAGCAAGGAACAUUAUUUUAGCUGAAGAACCUGCACAUCAAAUUAGGCAAGGGAUUGGGGGGGAAAUGAUUUAUUCAUGACAACAUGGUAUCCAUUUAUUGUUUAUGCUCCAUUUAUUGUUUAUGCCAUCAAAGAUUUAUCACUAUGUAGUCUGCCUAAUUCUUGGAGCAAGUUUUGGCAGUUUUUUUUUCUGAAUGAGGAAAACAAUUGUUAAGAUUUUUGUAGUGUAAGACGUGAAGAAAAUGUACCAGCAGUUCCAAGAAAAUUUGUAAAACAUUAUUGGAAUAAAGUGAUAGCUCUCAUCUUGGUUUAUUGCUGUUUACAGUUUGUUAAUACCACUGUUUUGUGGGAUAAAUCAGCCUCAUAUAACCAACAUGUAUAACUCUAAUGAAUGCACAAAGAGGUUAAGACCAUAGAGUAAGCUGUCCUGUCAGGCUUACCUAGGACACUGCCCCUCACCUUGGGAGGAAGGGCUCCCAAACUCUUUGUUCUCUCACUUGAACCCUACUAGUAAGGAGGUCUAAGCUGGAUGCGCGGCUUAAACAAGCUAUUUUUGUGAUUCUAUACAAAUAAUUUAGAAACUUGGCAUUUUUUAACCCAAGUUAAACUGCCUGUCUUUUUUUUGCUGCUGUAUGGAAAAGCACAUGAAUCUGACCUCUGAGGAGUUUGUAAGUAAACAGUUUUUAACUUCCCAAACGUGUGGUCUCUUUCUGUGCUAUGGAAAGUGGGGAAUUUUGGAAGCAACUUAGAAGGGGAUAUUUUAAAGUACUAACUGCCUAUAUUUCCACAAUUUACUAUGCUGCAUAUAUUGUGAUUUUAAAUCUCUGCUGGGGCUCUCACCUAAAAGUACUUGCCCCGAACCUGGAUCUUGGCGUCCAGGAAAUUCUCCUUCUCAUUAUACCUAAAAUAUUUCUCCUUUUAACCAAACAAAUGACGUUUUCUGGGGCAUUGUCUGCAUCCUGACAUCAGGAAGAUUGGAGCUGUCAUAAGAGCUGUUAGUUAAGCAACGAAGUUCUCAGGCCCUGAUCCACAAAAAGUGCUUGUGCAUGUCCUCUUCCCAGGCAGAUAGCCAGGUGCUUUGGCAGUGACUCUGAAGAUCCUCCCUGGCUUGCGCUCCUGUUCCGGUGGUCUUCUUGGGUGUUGGAGAACUGACUAGGAACCCAGGCAGCUGGGUAAGGACCUCCAGUCCUGGGGCAGGGGUAGCUCCUCAGGUUCAUUGGUAGUAUGGAGAUCUGCUGGAGGUUCCAGCUGCCCUUGCUCCUUAUUUGAGGAGACCUCAGGUUAUCAGUCUGAGCAAUGCUGAAUCCUAACAGUUAGCCUGAGAAAUAAAUAGCAAUAUAUCAAAUAGUAGAAAUCAUCACGACCACCUUGCAACCAUGAAAGAGGUGCAUGAGUUUGCUUGGUUUCCUCUUCCCUACCCAUCCCACUUUCCUUUUGUGUUUUGCCUUUUCAAUUGAAGGCUUGCAUUAUUUUUGUUGAUAGAAGCUGCUUUGGGAUCUUUUUCAGCUGAAGAGUGGAAGUAUAAAUGCAUUGAGUGAAUGGAUUGAUGAAUAAUAAUAAAUAUAACAAGCCUCUCUCCCACAGUAAAUGGAGCAGUGAUAGAAUUAGAAGAGGUAUGCCUUUGUACCCUUAUAGCUUGCUUGAAGAACAGGAAGCAGAGAGUAGGCAUAAAUGGACAGCUGUCACGAUGGAUGGAUGUAAGAAGUGGAGUCCCCUGUAACUUGUUCAUAAAUGAUCCGGAGCAGGUAGUGAACUGUGUGAUGAGACCAAAUCCUUCAGGCAGGUAAGAGCAAAAGGAAUCAAGGGUAGCUCCAAACCAGGCGAUUAGUCAUUAAAAUAGUAGAUACAGUCCACUCAGAGCUGGCACCAGGUUUGAGAGGGCCCCGGGGAACAUGGAUUCCACCCUCUAUCAGUGGGUCCUGGUGGACUUACUUAGCUGUGGUGACAGGGCUGCAAGGUGACAUGGUUCAGCCACCAUGUUUCAAUAUUAGGUUCACAGUAUAAAAAUACAAAAUAAAAACACAAAAUACAUAAUAAAAACAAGAAUACAACAAUACCCCCCCAUUUAAAAGGACAUAGACUGUUAAUCAGCUCAAGGCCUGGUUGAAUAAUUUUUGCCUGGUGUUUAAAGAUCAGGAAGGCUUCAGGCGAGUCUCUGGGGAGAACAUUUGACAAAUAGGGAACCACUGCAAAAAAAGGUUAAACAGGUACAGUGGACCCUCCGGAUACGAAUUAAAUUUGUUCCAAGGGUCCAUCCACAACCCAAAAAGUCUGUAGGCAGAGGCACCGCUUCUGCACAUACAUGUGGUGUGAUCGAGCGCUUCUGUGCAUGCGUGCGCGGCGAAACCUGUAAGUAUACACUUCCGGGUUUGCCACGUUCAUAACCUGAAAGUUACGUAUCCAGAGUGGUACGUAACUAGAGGGCCCACUGUACUGGCUGCAAAGACAUGUUUCCUGAGAUACAGAAGAAGAGAAAUGAGUUGAGUGUAAUUCCUAUAUGACCAACACAAUGAAUGUAAAGGACAAAGAGAGGAAAGAUAAUUCAGGGAUAACCUCUUCCAAAAUUAAUGACCAGGUGGAAUGGUCAAUGCAGACUGAGAGGGAAGACAGUUAUAGGGGGAUAGCAAGAUGAGUCUUUGCAAGAUGAAUAAUGCAUCUAAAGUUUAAUAUUGUUUGGGUGAAUUAACAAAAUUCUAACCCAUCGUGGCGUGACUGCACUGCACGUUUAUUGGAGACACUGCAGACUGACUGGAGUAUGUGCACAGAGUGUACAAAACAGGAUAUGCAUGUUCCCCAAGGCCUGUUGGGAAUUAUCUAUAAGGGCCAGAUAAUAUACAAAAUUCAGCUGAGAUGUGUACCGUAUUUUUCGCUCUAUAAGACGCACAAGACCAUAAGACGCACCUAGUUUUUGGAGGAGGAAAACAAGAGAAAAAAAUUCUGAAUCUCAGAAGCCAGAACAACAAGAGGGAUCGCUGCACAGCGAAAGCAGCGAUCCCUCUUGCUGUUCUGGCUUCUGGGAUAGCUGUGCAGCCUGCAUUCGCUCCAUAAGACACACACACAUUUCCCCUUACUUUUUAGGAGGGAAAAAGUGAGUCUUAUAGAGCAAAAAAUACGGUACUUUGCCCAAAGGCAAGUUUAUGUACACAGUUCCCUCUUCAUUGAAGGAUUAUGUGUAUGUUCUCCAUGAGGCCUGGUGAAUGUGCACAAUGGCUGGCUGUGAUACACAUUAACCACUCAAUUUAUAUUCCACUUAACACACACAGGUUUAGACUAGUAUCUAUUGUGAGCAGUAAUGGUAACUUCUCUCUCAAAAAUGUAUAGUAGUAUUAUUCAAAAGUGAAUAAUAGAACACUAUGUAGAUUAUCAUCAUCAUUACAGUUCUUGAAGCCCCAGAGUGAUUGCAUAGCUCCUUGUAUAAACAAAACUGUUUUCCUAUUUCCUAUGAAAGCUGUUCUUCCAGCCUACCCCUUCAAGUCUGCAUCAAAGAAUGACAUAUUUCUGACGUAUUGCGUCACAAAGAGCCAUUCUGUCUACCAGGAACAAUCACAUGGAAGCAGCUUUUCUGUUCUAAAAUGAAAGGCCAAAAUUGGGUUGAAUAGCCUUUCUACAACCACAGUAGAACGUAUCGCCUCACAAUUGUACAAUGAUCCACAAUAUUAAGUGCUGAUAGCUAUUUAAAAAUGCUUGCAGGGGAAAAAACAGCAGCUUUCUCUCCACACCUCCAUGUAGAUAUAUUCCAAAAUACAGUUAUUAUGGGAACAGGUUAAAAGUGAGAUAAGCCUGAGUCAUACAACAGAAACUCAGCUUCUUCCAAAAGACUGUUUGCUGGGUAUACUGGCAAAAGAGAGAGCCUGAACAGUCUGUCUAAAAUGUGUCAUUUUAUUCGUGCUGGGGAAAUGGGGGGGGGGGGACGACGACGAUGACUUACAUUUAACAAUUAGCAGUCUAAUCAGUCUAUUCAGUCUAUCUCAGCAAAUAGCAAGUAUAUCCAUAUCCCCACUCCUGGAAUUACUAACAUACUGUUGCAACAUGAAUGGAAGGAAAGGACUGGUUCACACAUGGCAUUUCAUCACUAGAUGGCUGCAACAUCACUUGAUGGUUUGCAUGUUCCAUCCCCAGAUAAAUUCAGCACAGACCAAACUGCUUAACAUGCAAGUAUGCACCGAGGCCAUCGUAAUUCUGAUUCCAGUUACUGCAAGAGGAGUGUGCCGUUAAUAUGCUAAUCUUUUCCGGUAAGUGGGUAUUUCAAUUAAUUAAAAUAUUAAAUAAAGACUGGGGAAACAGGUCAUUGACCCAUGAUGGGCAUGAUGACCUGUCAUCAUCCUAUGCUGAAUUUUCAGUUUUCAGGAUAGGUAUCGUAUCUGACAUAACAUCUGUUUUGCAGCAGCUGCAUUCCCAGUUUAUGUCCCCUGUUAUGGCUCCUGCCAACCUAGCAGUUUGAAAGCACGUCAAAGUGCAAGUAGAUAAAUAGGUACCGCUCCGGCGGGAAGGUAAAUGGCAUUUCCGUGUGCUGCUCUGGUUCGCCAGAAGCGGCUUAGUCAUGCUGGCCACAUGACCUGGAAGCUGUGACGCCGGCUCCCUCGGCCAAUAAAGCGAGAUGAGCGCUGCAACCCCAGAGUCUGCCACUGGACCUAAUGGUCAGGGGUCCCUUUACCUUUACCUAUGGCUCAGAGGCUUCUAGGAGCAGCAGGUGAGCACCUCUGGUCUGGUUCCAUCUUGGUUCAAGUGGAGCUCAUCCCUUUUGGACAGCCCCAGCUUGUCCUAAAGGACUGCUCAGUGUCCAGCAAAUCCCAAAUACCACUCAUGCAGUGAUUUAAGUCUCAGUGAAUUAAUGACAAAGGUAAUCAUAGCAAUGUCAUUUCCUGAUGAUGUGGACAAGGUGUGGGGAAUAAGAAUCACAUAUCAAGGUUUCUACACUUUUCACCCAGACUCUCACAUGAGAAUGAGGAAAUCCCAGCGUGUGGAAUAAUGCAAAUGCUUUUGAAACACACUCAUUCUGCAUUGCAUAAGGGACCUUCCUUGGAAGUUUGCUGUGAGGUGAGAGAUCUGUUAUUUGGGGAUGGCUCUUUCCACCUGCCUUGCCACAACCUCUGGCCCUGGGAACCUUUAGGAGGAAGCUUCUUCCUGGACUGUGAGGAGAACCGGGUGGGAGGCACAGAAAUUUAAGAACUACCUUUAAGAGAGGACUCCGCAUUCUACGUUCAAUUUGUGUUUUUUGUAGCUGCUUUUGUGUUUUAUUUGGAUUAGUCUUCUAUAUCUUACUGCAUUAUGAAUAACUUUAAUAAAAAAAUUCACAUGCAGAACUGUGAGGAGAACUUGUGGUCUGUUGUGGCCGCAUAAAUGGGUUGCUAAUUGACCUAAUGUUGCUAAUUGACCAAACGGUCAAUAAUGGUGAACCUGUGCUCACUUUUUAAUAUUUUUAAAAUGAAUUGUUAAUGGUUGAAUUAAUAAUUCUACAACUGAAUAUGAUAUUGUAGUUUAUUAUGUAUUACAAUUCUGUUUCUGUAGAUUCUCUAUUUUCUGUAAACUGCUUUGGGUACAAAUUUUGGGUUUGUGGAAAAUGCAGCGCAUAUAUAUAAAUUGAAAAUAACUUUUUAUUACUAGGUAAACUAGAGGCCACAUAAGCAAUUGCACUUUCUUUUCUUCUUGUCUGUCCAUUUUAUAGUUUUGAAAAUAUUCAACCAUUCAGCUUAAAAAAUAACAUUUUAUUUCAGAAUUUUGUACUUGAUUCAAAAAAACUUUUCACUAGUUAAAUCAACUCUAUUUUAUUAGAGCUAAGUUUAAUCAAUCGAUUAAUGCUUUAGCUCGUGGGGGGGGGAACCUUUUUGAAUCGGAUACAAAAUUUGGAAAUAAAAUAUUAUUUUAGGCUGAAUGGUUGAGUAUUUUCAGCCAUCUAAAAAUUGAUCUACUUCCCCUUUAAAAAAAGAGACAACAGCCCAAAGCAACCAACUGGCUGUUUCAAAGGGACUAAGUAUAUCCUUGUCUUUAUCUUUGAUACGGUAAUUACAUUUUCUCAAUUUGUAAGCUCUUUAAGCUGUGGUAGGGAUUGUAUAAUAGGCACAAGUGAGCUAAAAAUACAUUUCAUAUUUAACUGCCUAAUAACCGGCAACUGAGGGAAACAGGAGCCACAUAUGAAAACAGGAAGUUCCUCUCCUCAAGCUGCAUUUUUCUGAUAGGUAGGAUUUCUUAAAGCCUUUGCUAAAAUAAUAACCCCCUUCAAGUUUUAAAUAAAAGCAGAGUUGUUGGCCAUUGUUUAUAGCUCUGCGUAGCUGAAAAGCAGUGACCGUAUUAUAUUAAGAGGAGCUUAACUGAGUCCUGGGAACAGGCGCUAAAUUUAGCACCUUUAUUUGCAACAGUAAAAAGCUUCAGUUUUAAAUUCCGUUUUGACUCAGUAAUUCGGUGCCGAUACCCUAUGUGGUCUGCAUGUAGCAAAGUGACCCCGAUUCCAAAUCUAACUUGAGUCUGAAAUGAUGGGAUGGAUUUUGUUAAUUUGGGCCCUGCUAGGCCUUCGCUAGGGACAUGGGUGGCGCUGUGGGUUAAACCAGAGGGCUUGCCAAUCAGAAGGUCGGCGGUUCAAAUCCCCGCGACGGGGUGAGCUCCUGUUGCUCGGUCCCUGCUCCUGCCAACCUAGCAGUUCGAAAGCACGUCAAAGUGCAAAUAGAUAAAUAGGUACUGCUCUGGCGGGAUGGUAAACGGCGUUUCCGUGUGCUGCUCUGGUUCGCCAGAAGUGGCUUAGUCAUGCUGGCCACAUGUAUGCCGGCUCCCUUGGCCAAUAAAGUGAGAUGAGCGCCGCAACCCCAGAGUCGGCCACGACUGAACCUAAUGGUCAGGGGUCCCUUUACCUUUACCUUAGGCCUUCGCUAUCUACUCCUCCAAGCUGUUUGUUCCGGUUUAGAGCUAAAGAGCAGGUUUUCCCUGGGAAAUGAGCAGGGCAAGGCAGAAACUUCUGACCCGUGCCUAGGUAGCACAGGGCAAGCGGCAGUGUCGAUUUUGGUGUAAGCUGCUUGGAACUUUCUGCAAGGAGAAACUCACUAAGACCUGGGCAGAAAGUGAAAAAAGCGUGCUUAGCAGGUGCAACGUGCGGGAGGAGGAAGAUGCAGGAGGUGACCGUGGGGAUGGUUUGGGUGCAGGGGGGCUGCACAAAAGGGGAGGGAGGAGGCAGGGACCAGGGAGUGAAGGAGAACACGGAUACAGAGUGGGACUGCAGAGCAGAAGAGAGAAGCGGCUUCGGGUCUGGGGUUGGGAAAGGGAAAGGCAGCUUGUACGAGGUUAGAAGAGGAAGCUGCAUGGAGUUAAUGGUGAGGGAAAUCACUGGCGGAGGAACCAUAGCUGUCAACUUUCAGAUUUGAAAAUAAGGGAUCAGCAGCCUCGAAAAUAAGGGAUCAGCAGCCUCUCCUGUCCCGGGGACAGUCUACGGGAUAUCUAACAAUCCGGGAUAGCAGCGGGAAACCGAGCUGGAAUAAGGGAAUUUCCUGCAAAAAAGGGGAAGGUUGAUAUCUAUGGUAGGAACGGGAGUACGGAGCGAGCGGCCCACCCCUGGCACCACUAUUCCGGUAGGGUGCCAUCACGGCGGCCCCCCUGGACAUGUGCCACGCACCCCACACGCUGGGUGCCACAACCUUGUGGCCGGUUCGCCACGCCCUCGUGGGUGGCGUGCCACACCCCUGGGAUGCGUGCCGUGCCCCCACAAGCGGUGUGCCAUGCCACGCCUCCGCAGGCGGCAUGCCACGUCCCCAGGAGGUGCGCCAGGCCCCCGUGGGCACCAGCCACACCCCCGCCUGCUCUCCACCCCCGGUAGCGGAGCAUGCAGCUUCGUCCCUGGGAGGAAUGGCAGGGAUGAAGCCCUGCGUAACCUCAUAUAAUACAAGUCCACUCACCUCUCUUGGUGCAGCAGCCUUCCCCAAUGGUGGAAUUCAAACAGCAGUGCCCUUCCUGAUAGUGGAGCGGGCAUAUGCCCCCACUGCCUAUCAGGAGCUGGAUCUUAGCCUGCCCUCUACAUUGGCGAAUGGGGAUGCAGGCUGGGAUGUGGCCGGAGCCAAUAGAGCCGACGGUGGGCUUCCCUCAGAUCCGCUCCCUGCCCAUUUAAGCAGCCCACACCUGGGGCACAGCCUGUUUGUUCCUGCGCCGGGCUCCCCCACAUCCACCGUUUACGCUGAUAGGCAAUGACUUUGCUGUGGCUGCGGUGGUCGCCGUUCUUUAAGGGGCCUGGUAGGAAUUUGCCCACCGGGCUAAUUGGCACUGACCUGGUGGUUUUGCCUACCUCAUAGCAAUUUGUCACAACUGGUUGAGCACUGGGGCAAUCCCUUGUUUGGGACGGAGGGGAGGUUGUAGUCCCUGCCUGCCCCUCCAAAUGCUGGGGUAGCCCAUUAAAAGGAUCCGGGGAGAGUGGCCACGUCUGCGUGUACAGGGGGCCAGGGCCAAAGGCACUCCCCCAGACAGCGGUCCCUGUGGGGGUCACCCUAUUGGAUGUAAGUCUUAGGAACUCUUCCUUGAUUGACCAUGCAUCACUUCCGGGGGACGGGCCGAAAGUAUUUAGAUUGCCCCCUUGCCCAAACCAAACCUCUUUCAUCUGUAUUCAAUAAAGUGGUGGCCUGUUUUUAACUCAAACCCAGUCUUAUUGGUCUCUUAUUUGUAUGGGUUGGGGUCUGGGAAGUCUGAUGGCUGGUCCUGCAACAGUGCUGCCAAGGGGAGUAGUACUACUACCUUUUGGUGACCCCAGAGGCAGCUGGCUUAUUGCGAAGCUAUGGGCUGGAAGUUAUUGUCCAUUUUUAAGCACACGCCGACUGGGCUUUUUCCCCUUGGGCUGCUCCUUUACCACUCGCACUGGUAGUUAGAUGGAGCGGGGCUCUCAGCCGGACCUGUACUCCGGCGUGGUGGAGGGGCCCAUGAGUGUGGUGUCUUCUCCCUUUGGUCUCAGAAAUUUAUGUUUGGAAAAUAAAAUCUGAUAUUCUCAGGUUUCCAGUUUAGCCAACUGCUAAGAAUAAACCUUUGUUGUAAGCCACUUAUGCCUCAAUCUUUUUCAUGUUUCCUUAGAUGUAAACGACACUGUUCUAAAUUUGUUCCCAGGUAAACGUGCAGAGGCUUGCAAUUUCUGAGUUGUUCUCAUGUAAUCGUGUUUUGUAAAAUGAUCAUAAACAAACUUGAAAACACAGAGCUCUACAUUCAGUACAAAGCAAAGAGGUAUGGGACCUUUGAGAGCUCUUUGGGCUUCUUGGUUUGAGUAUUUGUGUGGAACCAGGGCUUGGGGUGAGUCACUUGCUUCUUUUCUGCUAAAAAAGCCAAUUGCAACUUUAUCAAAAUCUGCAAUUUUCAGUGGAUUCAGGCUGAAUGAAUGACCGCUAGUAUUCACUAGUCAGUUUUGUUUGCUUUUUUGCUAGUGAAAAUCACAGUACAAGCUGUCAAUAAGAAUAAUAUGAAUGGAUGGGCGUUAUAUUAAAAAUGACAAUUGACCAGCAAGAUUCUUUACAAAAUGAAAGAGUUUGAAGUGGACAUUUAAAAUUAUAGCACAGAGGUGACUGGGAUUUAUAUGAAGCUUAAUUAUUUUUAGCUACUGCAUUUUGAAAUUAAGAUAUUUGGCACUACGGUUUGUCUCUAAAGCAGAAAACGGAUGUGUUUUACAUUUCUUUGAACAAGAAAUUCAUGACACACUAUGUGAAACCACGAAUGAACCCUGGAAUGAGACAUAUUCCCCUAAGGAAGACUUGUUGUGUCUGAAUAGGUUAGUUCCACUGUGUUAGCUUUAAAAGUGUGAUUUUUACCUGGUACUAUAUAGGAUAUUUACUUGAAAGGAUAUUUUAACCCUCUUGUGGCCAGGCAGACUUGUAUAUACGCCCUCUCUAAAGCACUAUAAUAUAGGAGCAAACCUAGUUAUAAAAUGAGGCAAAAUAGUAAUAAUUUGGGAGAACAAAUAAGGAGGAUUCCCCUUCAUGUGACACUUUAAAAAUAAUUCACCAACAGCAGUAUGUUUCAUUUUUUAUUUACUUAUCUCUCCAUGUAGCUUGUACCAUGUGGAACAAACCUUAAGAAUGGGUAGGAUCUGUAAAUUAGCUAGCUGUCAGAACCCUGCACCCCUGCUUUCUGUGCUAUAUUUUCAGAGAGUUAAUGGAGCAUAAGUUGCUAAAAGUGUGAAAUGGGAAGUUCCUGAUUCAAAUAUCACCUCAAGCAGCCAUCCAGUUGCCUUAAGCAAUCCAUUGUUCUGCCUGCCUUUGCUCCCCAUUUCAGGUAUGAGAAUAGCAAUACUGGAUUGUUAUAGGACUGUUGUAAGACCUACGGUGGUAAUAAGUGUGGCACACCAGAAAUGCGCUGUGUAACUGCUAACUCUUGUCUUCAGACAGCAUACCCCCCAAAACCCUGCAUAUUCCAUCAAUAUAAGCUUGUCCUCUGCCCUGAUCCUGAUUUUAUUCCCAAGGUGAAAUCUGUGUCCAGAGUUCUAUGCUCAGGUGGUUUUGCCUUCCCUCUGAGCUCCUCCUCCUUGUUCUCAAGAACAUGUAUGACAUUCACUGGGUGUCAGUCGUGCCCUGCGGUUUUAUUUGGAUCCAACAGUGAAAUUUAGGAAAUCAGAGUCCCUCCUUGCGGCGUUUUUGGGGGCUUCCAAAGGUAUAAAUGUGUCCACAGCCAUGAUUUCUUGAUGUGCAAGUCUGCUCCCUCUGGAAUGACUGCUCACUCUUUCAGGGAAGCGGCUGCCACAGCUGCUUACAGGUGUAGUUUUCCUAUCAUAGAUAUUUGCUGGGCAUCCACUUGGGCCUCGCCACACACUUUUGUAAAACACUGCAGAAUAGAUUUACUUUCAUCAGCUGAUGGAGCCUUUGGCAGAAAGCUUCUCCAGAGGGUUUCUGCUGCAGUAAGUAAAGGCAGAGGAAACCCAAGCAGGUCUGAAGGAGGCUCCUCUGAUAUAUAUCUAUGAGGAAUGUCUUCUGUCCCUAUCUGGCAAAAAUGGAAAUGGUACUUAAUGAGAAUUUCCAUUUGAAGAUAGGGACAGAGGGCACUGCUCCUUUCUCUGUGUUUUCCCCUGGAGUGAGAUUGCUGAUGUAGGACUUCUGCUGCUGUCUUACAUAUUGCACACAUUAUUUGAGUACUGGUGUAUGCCCAGUUUUGUUAUGUCUAAGACCAGGUCUCCUUCUUUGCUAUUUCUCUGGUUUGAAGUUGUUGGCAGCCGGGUUCUGCAGACAUUGGAUUUGGGGUCGAGGAGUUGUCUUCAUUCUUGCCAGUCAGUCUGGAGGGCAGGAGCUGAACAGUUCUGAAGAUCCUGCCCCUCAUAGCCAGUGGGAGGAAUCAUUCUUACUAGGAAUGUCCUCCACCCCUAUUUUCAAAUAAAUUCCCAAUUCCCCCCUCAAUCAUAUGUUUCUGUUUCCUUAAGAACGGAUUUAAAAUAUUUUCUUCUUCCUAUUAACGGAUUGUAUAUAUAGAUCAGGAAGCAGAAAAAAGCAGAAUUUGUAUUUUGAACAAGAUAUACAGUGGUACCUCUGGAUGCGAAAGGGAUCAGUUCCGGAGCCCCGUUCGCAUCCUGAAGUGAAUGCAACCCGCGUCUGCGCAUGCAUGAGUCGCUGCUUCCGCACAUGCGCGUGACGUCAUUUUGAGCAUUUGCGCAUGCGCGAGUGGCGAAACCCGGAAGUAAUGCGCUCCGUUACUUCCGAGUCGCCGCGGAGCGCAACCCAAAAAUAUUCAUCCCGAAGCUACUUCAACCCGAGGUAUGACUGUAGUCCAUUCUCUCUCUCUCUCUCUCUCUCUCUCUCUCUCUCUCUCUCUCCAAUCUUUCACUAUGAUACCUGGGAACUGUCCAUAGGCUUUAGGAAGUUACACAAGGGCUUUGUGUACCUUCCUUUUUAAAGUGUGUGUACAUUUUGUUUUUACCGCCGCAGACCUCUUCAUUAUGAAGUGCAUCAAUUCUUACACGUUAUAGACUAAGAAACAGAAAUCUCAGCAGAUACUAUACAGACAGCUUCCUGUUUGCACUCAACUGCUCACACGGACAGUGCCAGGAACCUGGAAGUGGAACCCGGAAGUGGGGGGCACCCUGUAGAAUCCUGGCUCAUGAGGAGACCCUCCCCGGAGCCCAAAGAGGAUGUCCUCUUCAGGCUCCGGGGAGGGUCUCCUCAUAAGCUGGAGGUGGAGUGGGGCUUUGUUGAGUGUGCUCAGCCUCCCCGCCUAACAGCUGACAUGCAGGGUAGUGCAGCCGCUGAUGCCGUGUCCUUGCAUGUCAGCUGAGCAAGCCUCACGUGAGCCGGAGGGGCGGAGGGGCCUUGUUGAGCUGCGCAGCUGACGGGCGGGGAAGCCUGCAUCAUAGAAUUGUAGAGUUGGAAGGGAUUUUGAGGAUCAUCCAGCCCAACCCCCAGUAAUGUCAUAUGAGCACCGUCUCCCAGAAAGUACUCCUGUACAAAUAUCAUCAAAAUGAACAGGACACCUGGGAACCUUCUGUUCAGCUGGCCUGGGAGUACUCACUGGUAGAUACUGACCCAUAAUUUGUUUGCAAGUAAAUCCUGAAAGGGAAUUCAGCCUCUUUCUUUCCUUUCGAAAAUGACCGUAUUUGUUGUCUUGCUGUCAACAUUUUACAUGAUUUCACAUUCCAGGGUUACUCUGCCCAUCUGUAGUUGGCAGGGGAAGAACUGAGCAGGCUGAACUGUUGUGCUUUGCUUUUCUGUGACAUAUGGAAAGAAUGUAAAGUUGUUGUUGUUGUUGUUGCAGGCCUCAGACAAAGCAACACAAAAAUGUACAUUGAGCUUUCAAACAGGCUUCACGCUACUACCUUAACAGAUUAGAGAACUGGGCAAAAACAAACAAGAUGAAUUUUAAUAGGGAGAAAUGUAAAGUAUUGCACUUGGGCAAAAAAAAUGAGAGGCACAAAUACAAGAUGGGGGACACCUGGCUUGAGAGCAGUACAUGUGAAAAGGAUCUAGGAGUCUUGGUUGACCACAAACUUGACAUGAGCCAACAGUGUGACGCGGCAGCUAAAAAAGCCAAUGCAAUUCUGGGCUGCAUCAAUAGGAGUAUAGCAUCUAGAUCAAGGGAAGUAAUAGUGCCACUGUAUUCUGCUCUGGUCAGACCUCACCUGGAGUACUGUGUCCAGUUCUGGGCACCACAGUUCAAGAAGGACACUGACAAACUGGAACGUGUCCAGAGGAGGGCAACCAAAAUGGUCAAAGGCCUGGAAACGAUGCCUUAUGAGGAACGGCUAAGGGAGCUGGGCAUGUUUAGCCUGGAGAAGAGGAGGUUAAGGGGGUGAUAUGAUAGCCAUGUUCAAAUAUAUAAAAGGAUGCCACAUAGAGGAGGGAGAAAGGUUGUUUUCUGCUGCUCCAGAGAAGCGGACACGGAGCAAUGGAUCCAAACUACAAGAAAGAAGAUUCCACCUCAACAUUAGGAAGAACUUCCUGACAGUAAGAGCUGUUCGACAGUGGAAUUUGCUGCCAAGGAGUGUGGUGGAGUCUCCUUCUUUGGAGGUCUUUAAGCAGAGGCUUGACAACCAUAUGUCAGGAGUGCUCUGAUGGUGUUUCCUGCUUGGCAGGGGGUUGGACUCGAUGGCCCUUGUGGUCUCUUCCAACUCUAGGAUUCUAUGAUUCUACUACACACUAUGUGCAUUGUGUCUGUCUCCAUUUCUUAUUCUUUCUCAUUCCUUCCAGUCUUUAGGAGGAACUGCAGUUGAAGGACUGAGUUGAAAUUACGAAAGAAAGUGAUGAGUCAUGCUGCUUUUCCCAAUAGCUUCUAAAUCUGAAGACCCGACUACAUCAUGGCUUCUGCCUUGCUAUAUCCGUGGGAAGGGGAGGGGGUACAAAAUUAUACUAGUAUGUUAGCCUGAUGUUCCCAGUUUCCAACUUGUGUGUGUGUGAUUACCUAAUAUUCCUUCCCAGCUGUUUCUUAACAUUACUCAUACUAAAGCAACUAUCUUCUCACUUUCCUCACUAAACAUAGUUUCCCUUCGUGGGCUGUUUAGAAUGCUUUUUUUGUGUCUGUGCACUAUAGUUGCCUCAAACUGGCACUGAUUUAGGUAAUAAUAGUUACAAGCUCAACAAAUAUGUAAUCAAAAUAACCUUGCUCAUGCUAAGCUUUAUUCACCCAUUUCCACAAAAGCGGAAAGAAAAGAAAAAGGCAGGCUGCCACAAGUCUUAUUUUAUCUUACCAGGCAAGUGUUUAUCGGGCUGCCCGGGAAAGUGCAUGGACGGAGAGGCAUGAUUCAAAUGCACAAAUGGUGGAGCUGUGGAACCUUAGAGUUGGGAGGGACCCAGGGGUCAUCUAGUCCAACCCCCUGCAAUGCAGGAAUCUACGCAGGAAUUUCCAUGGAAUUUUGGAAAUAAUCAGCCAAAUGGUUGGCUGUGAUGUGAGGUCUUAAAACAUGGGUUGCCAAUCUUUCUGAGCCAAUAGGCACAUUUGGAGAAGGCGCCGUGGCCGCCAGUCGUUAAAUGGCUGCCAUGGAGGUGGCACAAAAUGACUAACACAAAAUGACAAGGCCACAAAAUGGUUUGGGCAUGCCGCCCCCCUCCCUCAAUGAAGAAAAGGUGCACUAGCUACUAGUUCAGAAUGGAUGCGGGGGGGUGGUGAGUGUCCAGUCCUAGCAGCCAACGAAAUGUGCUGUGUUCAAUGAAGGAGAAGGCUGAGCCACUACAAACAAACUGAGCGGUCUAUUGUGAAUUGUGAAUUUCUGAGGAGAUAUCUACUGAGACCUUUCAUGGGGGAAGCUGGGUGCUGCUGGCCAGCACAGCGGUGUCUGUGGGCGCUGCAUCAACUUUUUAAAGCUCUUGAGAAGGCAUGACUAUUGAAACACAUUCAGCGAUAUGACUGUAUCAAGACACAGUGAUAUGUUUGCGUGCACAUUCAAACCUAUGUGGGCUUGAUUGUCAAGGAACAAUCUGCUGAGCUGAGCGUUUCCAUUGCUCUUCCAUGGAACGUGGUCUUGGAGCAGAAAGUGACCUAAUGUGGACAGUCGGAGCUUGAAGAUAAUGGGUCACUUCUACUGCUGUUCUCUGGCAGCUACGAUUCAGUGCUAUAUUGCCUCUAAUCCUGGGGGUGGAAUUUAGCCAUGGUCAUUAAUAGCCAUUGGUAACCCCAUCAUCCUUGAGUAUGUAUAAUCCUCUUUGAACUCUUGUGACUAAUAGCCUUUACUGUGUGGUAGUGAGUGCCAUAUAUUAAUUAGGUGUUCUGUGUAUUUUCUUUUGUCUGUCCUAAAAUUGGCUCUUAAUCAGUUUUACUGGGUGACCUCCACUCUGGCAUCACGAGAAAGGGAGAAAAAAACAACUUAUCACUACCCACUUCUUCCACACCUUGCACAAUUCCACAAACAUCUUUUUGAUGCUCUUUUUUCUGAACUGAACAUUCUUAAAUGUUGGACGUCUUUCUUUGUAGGGAAUGCCUCCUGGUUCCUUGAUCCUUUUGACUGCACCUUUUCCAGCUCUGUGAUAUCCUUUCUGAGGUGGGAAGAUGGUGACCCAUGUUAUUCCAAGUGUGGACACGUCAGGCAUUUGUGUAAAGUUAAAGGCAGUUUUAUUUCCAGCCCCUUCCCUAAGAAUCCCUAGCAAGUUAUUUGCCCUUUUCACAGCUGCCGCACGCUGGGUCAACAUUUCUCUUGAAGUAUCUGCCAUGGCAACCGAGAAAGCUUCCCUUAUACCACGUCAGCCCGGCCUUUGGCACACCUUGUUUACUAUUGUCACUGCAAAAAGGUUGCAAAUGACUUUGAGUAAUGUGUGUUGUUCUAGGGUCACUGUCAUCUCAAAAAGAGGAUGGUUUUUAACAGUUUAAAAUCCAUCAAUAGCAGAAGCGGAACUCUUAACCACGGCCAAAGCACAGCACUGUCCACAACUUUGCUCCUACUGCCAUCUCUAUCUACAGAGACAUGGUGGUAGCAGCGCUAGCGGAAUUGUGGGCAAUAUAUAUCUGUGUGUCACCCCUGACACUAGAGUAAAUGUUACGUCAGGCCUCUCCCCCAAGAUGCAUGCUCCUUGCAUGCUUCCAGGUGUUGAUUAUUUAUCAGCACCCAAAAGUGGCUGUUCUGCUUUAAAAUGGAACGAAACCCGUUUCCAAAUUCCCAGCUGUCUGUAACCAAGCAGACAGUCCCCAUUUCCCUAACUCCAAAUGCUGGGUGGCAGCAGGGGGUGGGGGCUGUGUGUGUGACUGAGACCUGUGUGUGUGAUAAGGGUCAGAUAUUCCCUCCCCCCUGCACUGCACUCCUGAUCGUGAUUCCUCCCCCAACUCUCGUGGCACUGCAAUUCAGGAAGAAAAGAGAAAGAAACAGAUAUGAAGGUGCUGGUAUUUAAAAAGAGAAGGGUUGAUUCCCUCAGAGGAGAGGGAAAACAAAUGGCUAUAGCAGCCUCAGAAAUAGUCUGUGUGCCAGAGUCAGCUGAGCAGCAACACAAGAAGUCACCUGCACCUGGAGAAAUUGCACAGCCAAUUCCUUUGAUAAUUUAAAAAGUUGUAUUUUCGGAGCUCUUAAACAUAAAACUCAACACACACACACACACACACAAAAUGAGAGGGGGAUGUUUCGUUCAUGACAUUGUGGAGCUGCCUUUUCAAAAGUAAGUGAAAAAAGCAGGGCAACACCACAGUAAAUGCUCAGUGUGCAAGAGGCCAUGUUUACGUGCGCUUAGCGUUAAGCGAUUUGGUUUGUAGUUUCCCAGGUUGCUAAAAACAAACCCAAAAACUGCGUUCGAUGGACUGCUCUUCAAGCAUGUGGUGUGGAGGCCAGUUUUAGGGACAGCUUGCAAAGUUUGGUUAGCUUAGCAAUUUCAUGCAAAAUUGGUACAGAGCGCCUUAUUUUGGUACACUUGACACUGUGAAAUCUAAGGGCCAUUUGUCACAAGAUGCAGGGGCAAACCUGGGAUUGGUACAACGUGGGCACUCAAAGCAGGAGCUGUAGCCCUGCUCAUUAUUGUAUGACACAAGCAUUUAUUGCACAUUUACACUUUAUAUCUUUUCAUAGUAUGCACAAAGCUUCUUAGACAUAUAUCUAAAAAGGUAAUGUACAAAACGGCGCUAUCAGCCAAAGCAGCUUCUAAGGGCUGAGCACUCCGUAAUACAUAAUGCUCAUGGAAAGAAAACAUUGCAAUAUAUUAUUAUAUCACAGGGGAACCUUUAGUAUGAUAAAUAUUUCAUCAGGAUAGUAGGCCAAGGAUUCUUGGACUCAUAUGCAGUCUUUCCUAGAGCACAUGGAAAAACUACCUUUUUGAGUCUUUAAAAGCGUGAGCUCCCAUUGGACAGAAACAAAGAGCGGAAUAAUAAAUUGAUAACUUUGCAGUGGGGUCUCCGUUGUGCAUAAGAUGUUAAAGUGGCCUUCCAGAGAAAGCUGUGGGAGCCAGUGAACGCUCCAAGGCUCAGGGAAAGGAGUGAAAAGAAUUGAACAGAAUGCAUUCUGCUGAAGUAAAAAGUGACAAUUUGAAAAAGGGAAUGCUGUUCUGAAGGGGGAUGAAUCAAUGCUUGCUCUGAGUCACCCUCAAAUCCAUAGCUGCCCCUUCGUGCAAUGCUUGAGAUCACACCCUUGUACUCUCUGUUAAUCAAGCUGGAUUAAUCAUAUCUUCUUGGUUUUGCAUUUAUGAUUAAUAACAAUUUGUUAUAAUUUCCAACCAUACCUUAUUAAUAUCAGCUAAAGGCAUUAUUAUUUACUAGAAUAAAGACAUUUCAGUAAAAUGCCUAGCAUAUGUUUUGGUAGAGAGGACAUUUCAUACCUGGGAGCUGAACAACUUUGUUGUGUAACGAUGUACUGUACUAUUUCUGCUUAUCACUGUGAAAUAAAGGAGUUUUGCAAUAAAAAGUUUUUGGUUCUUAACAUAACAUUUAAGAUAAAUGGUUAAUAAAAGACCCAUGGUUGAUAGAGAGGAAGCAAAACCAAACAAGUACCAGAAAUAUAUAUUUUAAAAGCUCUUGCAAUACUUUUAUAUCUAACAGCAUUAAAGUUUAUGCUUAUAGGCUGCUUGAUGCAGCUGUCACGUUGGGUUUCACUUGGCCCUCCGGCAGCCCUCCUCAUUUGUCUGAGAGCAAAGCAUUCAAGCUGUCUGUCACAGCAGUGUGAUCUUUUGAUCCAAUGGGAAAGCAGAGUUUCUGCCAUAUUCAGGAAAGAUCCGUCACAUGAUCUUCAACAAAGCAACUGUGUCAUGCGCUGGUAAAUUCUGCCCAUUGCAAAUACGUAAGGGUGUCCUAUAAAUUAUGAUGCCAGGUUCCUGCAAAUAAAACCCCUGUUUCUUCCAUAGUGUUUCAUAGAAAGCUUAAAAUGCAAACAACAGCAAAAUGCUGCUGAUCAUGUUAAAAAAACAUUUAAAGCUGAUUCAGCAAAAAAUAGUAUUUUGGGUACACUGGACUCCACAGCAUCUUUACAAGAAGCUAUUGUUUUCUGAUUCAGGUAGAUGCUGGAAGUGUAAUGCUGGGGUACAUGAUGUGGGCUUGUCGAGUGAUAGCAUCUUUUUGCUUGGAAGUUGUCUAUAUUGUUGCACGGACCCCACUUUCCGAGCAGUGAGAGACUCCAGGGAUGCCUGUGAUUCUUGUGAAUAAUUAUAUUUGUAUACCACCCUUCAUCCGAAGGUCACAGGGUGGUUCGCAGCAU